rnacentral:rRNA from 1 species
UACGGAGGGGGCUAGCGUUGUUCGGAAUUACUGGGCGUAAAGCGCACGUAGGCGGGCUGGAAAGUCAGGGGUGAAAACCCGGGGCUCAACCCCGGAACUGCCUUUGAAACUUCCAGUCUUGAGGUCGAGAGAGGUGGGUGGAAUUCCGAGUGUAGAGGUGAAAUUCGUAGAUAUUCGGAGGAACACCGGUGGCGAAGGCGGCCCACUGGCUCGAUACUGACGCUGAGGUGCGAAAGCGUGGAGAGCAAACAGG